AACGAACGCUGGCGGCAGGCCUAACACAUGCAAGUCGAACGGGCGUAGCAAUACGUCAGUGGCGGACGGGUGAGUAACACGUGGGAAUAUGCCUUUCGGUUCGGAACAACUCGGGGAAACCCGCGCUAAUUCCGGAUACGCCUUACGGGAAGGAUUAUCGCCGAAGAUUAGCCCGCGUCCGAUUAGCUAGUUGGUGAGGUAAAGGACUCACCAAGGCACCGAUCGGUAGCUGGUUUGAGAGAACGACCAGCCACACUGGGACUGAGACACCGGCCCAGACUCCUACGGGGAGGCAGCAGUGGGGAAUCUUGGACAAUGGGCGCAAGCCUGAUCCAGCCAUGCCGCGUGAGUGAUGAAGG
rnacentral:rRNA from 1 species